rnacentral:lncRNA from 1 species
AAAAGCAAUGGUCGGUUUUGGGAUCCAAGACUUCAAGCACUGGGCUGGAGUCCCAAUUCCAGAACUAAAGAUCAAAGUUGUUUGAUCGCCUGACUGGUCAAAAACAAGGAAUCUUUUCUGAGCGCGACCAGAGUCUGAUUGAGGCACGAUGUCCUUAAUUUCACGAGGGGCAGUGGGAAGUUUCUCUUUGAGAACAGUGUCCAAAAGAGGCCUUUUCUCUUUAAGAACAGAAUGAAAAGGAGGCAUGAAGGCCUGUCGGAAGCGGGGCAAACCAUAAAACCACCCACGCGGUUCAUUUUCCUGACCAACCUGCG